GAUGAACGCUGGCGGCGUGCCUAAUACAUGCAAGUCGAGCGAAUGGAUUAAGAGCUUGCUCUUAUGAAGUUAGCGGCGGACGGGUGAGUAACACGUGGGUAACCUGCCCAUAAGACUGGGAUAACUCCGGGAAACCGGGGCUAAUACCGGAUAAUAUUUUGAACUGCAUGGUUCAAAAUUGAAAGGCGGCUUCGGCUGUCGCUUAUGGAUGGACCCGCGUCGCGUUAGCUAGUUGGUGAGGUAACGGCUCACCAAGGCAACGAUGCGUAGCCGACCUGAGAGGGUGAUCGGCCACACUGGGACUGAGACACGGCCCAGACUCCUACGGGAGGCAGCAGUAGGGAAUCUUCCGCAAUGGACGAAAGUCUGACGGAGCAACGCCGCGUGAGUGAUGAAGGCUUUCGGGUCGUAAAACUCUGUUGUUAGGGAAGAACAAGUGCUAGUUGAAUAAGCUGGCACCUUGACGGUACCUAACCAGAAAGCCACGGCUAACUACGUGCCAGCAGCCGCGGUAA
rnacentral:rRNA from 1 species